UUCUUUACUUAGCGGCGGACGGGUGAGUAACACGUGGGCAACCUACCCUAUGGAGGGGAAUAACAGGGAGAAAUCUUUGCUAAUACCGCAUAGAUCCGAAGUUUUGCAUAAAGCUUUGGAGAAAGGAGAAAUCCGCCAUAGGAUGGGCCCGCGUCCCAUUAGCUAGUUGGUGAGAUAACAGCCCACCAAGGCGACGAUGGGUAGCCGACCUGAGAGGGUGAACGGCCACAUUGGAACUGAGACACGGUCCAGACUCCUACGGGAGGCAGCAGUGGGGAAUAUUGCACAAUGGGGGGAACCCUGAUGCAGCAACGCCGCGUGAGCGAUGAAGGUCUUCGGAUUGUAAAGCUCUGUCUUCGCUGACGAUAAUGACGGUAAGCGAGGAGGAAGCCACGGCUAACUACGUGCCAGCAGCCGCGGUAAUACGUAGGUGGCGAGCGUUGUCCGGAAUUACUGGGCGUAAAGGGUGCGUAGGCGGUUUUUUAAGUGGGAUGUGAAAUCCUGAGGCUUAACUUCAGAAUUGCAUUCCAAACUGGAAGGCUAGAGUACAGGAGAGGAAAGCGGAAUUCCCAGUGUAGCGGUGAAAUGCGUAGAGAUUGGGAGGAACACCAGUGGCGAAGGCGGCUUUCUGGACUGUAACUGACGCUGAGGCACGAAAGCGUGGGGAGCAAACAGGAUUAGAUACCCUGGUAGUCCAC
rnacentral:rRNA from 1 species